rnacentral:lncRNA from 1 species
UUCAGAAUAUAGGUUAAGGCACGUCCCGUCAUGAUGGCAUAUAUGGUAUGUAAUUUCUCAUUAAGACAAUUGAUUGAUAUAAUUGGACUUCUUGGAACCAAGAGCCAUAUUUUUCCUGAGGGUCCAGAGUCAUGUCAAUCUGCACCUAGUUUCAUAUAGUAUUAUUUUAAUGCGACCUCUUAGAUAACAAUUGCCAGUCUAUCUUAAGUUAUGGCCAGAAAUCCCGGUACCGUUAACUCCCGGUAUUAAUUGUAGCUGAGGCCGCAGGGCAUUGUAAAUUGUCCUUGUCUGUAAUCAGAGCUGUCUAACAAGCUUUGCCAGGACACUCAUUUUAAUACCGUUUUAAGAGUUCUUCUGCCUCUUCAUUUGGAAAACCCAAGACUUCACCAAUAUGGGACAUACAUAGGAACACAUUUAUCAUGUCUCCCUGGAAGUUACAUCUGUAUACUGAUAGGCUGCCCAUAGAAAGCACCGUCCUAUAGCAAGUAUAAUCCAAAUGCAGAGAAUUCAAUUAACUAAUUAAGGCAGUUCAGUUCUGUUACGAUUCUUCUUGGUAAACUAAUUGCCCCCAUAUGAAUGCUACAUAAGAGCAGGGCAGCUCUUAUAAGUGAAAAUGUCCUACAAAACACAGACCCAACACAUGUCCAUAAAAACAUGAUGGACGCGGCAAGCCUACUCAUACGCCACCCAUCCAACAUCCAACUCAUAAAUAAUAUAAACCAAGAUACAUAUAUUCAGAUUGGCACAUGUGGUCAACUCAGGGACCCGAUGGUUUAAACACCUGUGUGUCUGGCUGCCUGUGGCUGUUGAGGAAUGCAGUCUCGGAACCCUGCGCUAGCAGGUGUUUUGUACAAUAGCAAACUAACUGGUCCAUCACGCCUUAGGCAGAGGAAGCAGAAAUUAAAUUGAUCUGUGUUUCUCCAAAAAAGGAGAUGGGGGAAACUGAUUUAUUCCUAAAGCAGGUGUCAUAGUUACAACACAUACAAAGUCUGCAUGCUUUUCGGUCAUGUUCUUUGCUCUCUCCCUGAAUCAGCUCCUGGCAUGUCAGAGUGGGUGGAGGCACGCCUGUACCUGAGUAAUGAGUAUACACAGUGCACCUACACCUGUUCUAUAUAUUCCAUCUAUGUGUGUACACACCCCUGCAUGCUCAUUAUGUGUGUACUGCAAAUAUGGCCAGCCAUCACAUGUCUUCACCUUGCCGCCAUUAUAGUUACUGUUCUCUUAAUUCAGUUCCACCUGUGGGCCUCCAUUUCUCUCACACCAUGGGGUUUUUAGAUUAUAACAUCAAUUUAUUGUGAAUUGAAAACCCAAUUUCUGAAUUUACACCAAAGAGAGAGAGUGUGUGUGUGUGUGUGUGUGUCUCUGUCUGGAGAAGGUUGUCUAAUAGUUUUGUAAGGGUUCCCAUCAGUAUGUAGAAGUCCUAUGAGUUCAGAAAAACAUGGUGGACCUGGAAUCUACACGUACAAAACAUUUGGGAAUCCUGCUCUUGUUCUCUCACCUCUUAUUUUCCAUCUCUGUAAGUCCUGCCCUAGUAACCUGGUAGUUUGCGGCUUGAAGAGAUCCUGUUUAACUGAUACCCUCUCAUUAUCUCGUUUUGCUGCAGCCUGACUCCCAGUUUUCAGGGCGGAGAGCCGAGUAUUUGAUUUGAGAUUAGGAGCUGAUUAGUGAGCUCUUAUCUCAAGCAAGCAAUGUGAAAACUGGCUGCACAAACUCAAAUAAGACUGCAAUUACAGAACUCGCCACCCUAUAACUGCCCUGUACCUAUCACUGCUCUAUUACAGGACCCCUCACCCUUUAACUGCUCUAUUACAGGACCCCUCACCCUAUAACUGCCCUGUACCUAUCACUGCUCUAUUACAGGACCCCUCACCCUAUAACUGCCCUGUACAUAUCACUUCUCUAUUACAGGACCCCUCACCCUAUAACUGCCUGUACCUAUCACUGCUCUAUUACAGAACCCCUCACCCUAUAACUGCUCUAUUACAGGACCCCUCACCCUAUAACUGCUCUGUACCUAUCGCUGAUCUAUUACAGGACCCCUCACCCUAUAACUGCCCUGUAUCUAUCACUGCUCUAUUACAGGACCCCUCACCCUAUAACUGCUCUGUUACAGGAC